rnacentral:rRNA from 1 species
UCCGGAGGGCGCAAUCGUUGUUCGGAAUCACUGGGCGUAAAGCGCGUGUAGGCGGCUUGGCAAGUCGGGUGUGAAAUCCCGAGGCUCAACCUCGGAACUGCACUCGAAACUGCCUGGCUCGAGUCCCGGAGAGGGUGGCGGAAUUCCCGGUGUAGGGGUGAAAUCCGUAGAUAUCGGGAGGAACACCAGUGGCGAAGGCGGCCACCUGGACGGUGACUGACGCUGAGACGCGAAAGCGUGGGGAGAAAACAGG